GUUCUUGGUCUGUCUCCUCCCCUCUCACUGCAGACAUGAAACACUGGCUGAGAAACAUCCUGAUUCUGACUCUCUGGAUAGAGUGUAAAGGAGAAGACAAAGUGACCCAGCCAACAGGAGAUGUCACUGCUGUUCAAGGACUCACACUGACUCUACAAUGUACAUUUGAGACCAGCAGCACUAAUGCAUAUCUGUACUGGUACAAACAGGAAGUGAAUGAUUAUCCCAGAUACAUGUUACAGAGAUUCAUAUCAGGAUCAGAAACAGUUAAAGCUCCCGAGUUCCAGAACGACAGAUUUGACGCCGAGAUCAACCAGACCUCAUUUCCUCUGAAGAUCCAGAAGCUUCAUGUGUCAGACUCUGCUGUGUACUACUGUGCUCUGCAGCUGUGUCCAUUCCGUCACCAGUUCCUGAACCUGUUGCAUGCGUUUUGUCGGAGUGGACUGACCACAUCAGUUCUGGAAGAGUAG